rnacentral:rRNA from 1 species
UCCAGACUCCUACGGGAGGCAGCAGUGAGGAAUAUUGGUCAAUGGCCGGAAGGCUGAACCAGCCAAGUCGCGUGAGGGAAUAAGGCCCUAUGGGUCGUAAACCUCUUUUGUCAGGGAGCAAAGGCGUCCACGUGUGGACGAGAGGAGAGUACCUGAAGAAAAAGCAUCGGCUAACUCCGUGCCAGCAGCCGCGGUAAUACGGAGGAUGCGAGCGUUAUCCGGAUUUAUUGGGUUUAAAGGGUGCGUAGGCGGAGUGUCAAGUCAGCGGUAAAAUUUCGGGACUCAACCCCGUCGUGCCGUUGAAACUGACGCCCUUGAGUGAGUGAGAAGUAAGCGGAAUGCGUGGUGUAGCGGUGAAAUGCAUAGAUAUCGAGAGGAACACUCGUGGCGAAGGCGGGUUCCUGGACAUUAACUGACGCUGAGGCACGAAGGCCAGGGGAGCGAAAGGGAUUAGAUACCCGAGUAC